UCAAAGCAAAAUAUUAGUGUUUCAAACAAUCCUUAUAAUUAAUUGACCCUAUAAUAGUUCUUAGCAAUUUACCUUCUAUUGAAAUUUGAACACUCGAUCGUGUAUUGAAAGAUUAUUGUAAUCGUUUUUUUGUUUGUUUGUUUUUUUUUUUUAAUGCAGACUUUGGUUAUUUCACUUUCUAGGAAAUGCUGAAGAUCGGGGAUCGUGCUUAGUCAAAGCAUUGUAAUAAUGCCGACUACAAAACAGUCAACAGAUAACUCCACAGCGUGGCUGAAGAUGAGCCAAGCUGAAUGUAUAGUGAUAUUCAAGAUCCUGGAAGGGUUGUAAGAAAAUCAACUGACAUGGUAUAUGACGAGACUGGUUAUUCCCAAUCUGGAAUGAGUGGAAUUAUAAAAGAACUAAAAUAUUUCAUCACUCUGCAUAUGAAACAGGAUUAUUGCUGUACCACAGCAGCCUGGGGAUAUUAUAUCUGCCACUGCUUACAAAUAGUUUGGAAGUAACUGGCAAGAAUGGAGGAACAAGUCCAAGGACAAAGCCAUCUGAUGAUGGGUCAUGCUGUUGAGGAGCACAGAGAAAUGUUUCGAAGCUUGCUCCACAUAUGAAUCAAGUUACGAAAUGUAGGUGAACAAGGAAUGACUCCAGCAGCAAUCCCAUAUGUUUCAGGUAUUCGCGACAACUAGCCUGAAGACUGUAAAGACUCAAAUUCUUGGUUGUA
rnacentral:lncRNA from 1 species